AGUGAACGUUGGCGGCGUGGAUUAGGCAUGCGAGUCGAGCGAGAACCGUAGCAAUACGGGGACAGCGGCGAAAGGGACAGUAAUAUGUAGGUACCUACCCUCGGGUCCGGGAUAGCUGCGGGAAACUGCAGGUAAUACCGGAUGACAUCUCCGGAUCAAAGGUGUGAUUCCGCCCGGGGAGGGGCCUGCAUCCUAUUAGCUUGUUGGUGGGGUAACGGCCUACCAAGGCGACGAUGGGUAGCGGGUGUGAGAGCAUGACCCGCGUCAUUGGGACUGAGACACGCCCCAGAAACCUACGGGUGGGUGCAGUCGAGAAGCUUCGGCAAUGGGGGCAACCCUGACCGAGCGACGCCGCGUGCGGGAUGAAGGCCUUCGGGUUGUAAACCGCUGUCGUAGAGGAGGAAAUGCAGGGGGGUUCUCCCCUCUGUUUGACCUAUUCUAGGAGGAAGGACGGGCUAAGUUCGUGCCAGCAGCCGCGGUAA
rnacentral:rRNA from 1 species